GCAAACACUGUUUCACAUUGAUAUAUUUUGUACUACCUUCGUCAAACUGUGCUGUGGUAAAACCUUUCUAAGAUGGAAAAGAAGAUUUUAAUAAUAAUUGCUUUGUGCGCAUUGUUUAUUGUCAGUACAGAAGCAGGUGGUUCUGCACCAUCAUCAGCUGAAUCUUCAUCAACAAAUGACGACAGGAAGAGGCGUGCAGUUGAUGACGUCAAAGUUGAUGACGUUAAGAUGGACAAGAUCGGGAGUGAUAUGCAUCGUUGAUGUUGAAUUGAAGACAAUACUACACGGCCAGAUAAAUCUAUAACGGACCCGGAAAAAUGUGUUACUCUCUUUAUAGAAAUCAUCUACUCUUUCAGCUGAAUUCACUAUGUGUAUCAUAAUAAAGCAUUCUAAACUAUAAA